rnacentral:rRNA from 1 species
UUAUGUGAUCGUCUCUCGCAUAUCAAUAAGCGGAGGAAAAGAAACUAACAAGGAUUCCCCUAGUAACGGCGAGUGAAGCGGGAAGAGCUCAAAUUUGAAAUCUUAAAGGGUUUCCCUUUACGAAUUGUAGUUUAAAGAAGUGUUUUCUGUUGAGGUUUUGGUAAAAGUUCUUUGGAAUAGGACAUCAUAGAGGGUGAGAAUCCCGUAUUUGACCUUUACUUUCAACUUUGUGAUACACUUUCAAAGAGUCGGAUUGUUUGGGAAUGCAGUCCAAAAUGGGUGGUAAAUUUCAUCUAAAGCUAAAUAUUGGCGAGAGACCGAUAGCGAACAAGUACCGUGAGGGAAAGAUGAAAAGAACUUUGAAUAGAGAGUUAAACAGUACGUGAAAUUGUCAAAAGGGAAGCGUUUGACACCAGUGUUGUUUUUCUGAAAAUCAAUUAAAGAACUGUUUAUGCUAAGUUGUUUAGACUUUAUCAGCUAACUGUUUAGUUUUGAGCUUUUCUUUAAUGCACUUUUCAGUUAACAAGUCAACAUCAAUUUCUUUUGCUGUAAAAAAGCUUGAGGAAGGUGGCUUGAGAUUCGUCUUAAGUGUUUAUAGCCUCUUGCCUAUGCAGUCGGAGAGAUUGAGGUCUGCAGCGUAGAUCCUUCGGGGCUAAAUGCAUUUGUGCUAAGUUAUAGCAUUUUAUAGACAACUUGUUGACUAUGAUUUGUCUUGUAGCUUACUCGCUUAUGUUAUUUUACCUACGCUUAGGAUGUUGAGCGCAUGUCUCUCUCU